UACGUAGGGGCCUAGCGUUGUCCGGAAUUAUUGGGCGUAAAGAGCUCGUAGGCGGUUCGGCAAGUCGGAUGUGAAAUCUCCACGCUCAACGUGGAGGGGCCAUUCGAAACUGCCGUGACUCGAGUCCGGUAGGGGAGUGUGGAAUUCCCGGUGUAGCGGUGAAAUGCGCAGAUAUCGGGAGGAACAUCAGUUGCGAAGGCGGCUCUCUGGACCAGCACUGACACUGAGGCACGAAAGCGUGGGGAGCAAACAGG
rnacentral:rRNA from 1 species